rnacentral:rRNA from 1 species
GAUGAACGCUAGCUACAGGCUUAACACAUGCAAGUCGAGGGGUAACGAGAGGGAAGCUUGCUUUCCUUGUCGACGACCGGCGCACGGGUGAGUAACGCGUAUCCAACCUGCCCCCAACUAAGGAAUAACCUUGCGAAAGUAAGACUAAUACCUUAUAAUUUCCUCAGAUGACAUCUGACGAGGAAUAAAGAUUUAUCGGUUGUGGAUGGGGAUGCGUCUGAUUAGCUUGUUGGCGGGGUAACGGCCCACCAAGGCAACGAUCAGUAAGGGUCAUGAGAAGAAGGUCCCCCACAUUGGAACGGAGACACGGUCCAAACUCAUACGGGAGGCAGCAGUGAGGAAUAUUGGUCAAUGGGCGGAAGCCUGGACCAGCCAAGUAGCGUGCAGGAUGACGGACCUAUGAGUUGUAAACUGCUUUUAUACAGGAAUAAAGUUAGCCACGUGUGGUUAUUUGUAGGUACUGUAUGAAUAAGGACCGGCUAAUUCCGUGCCAGCCGCCGCAGUAG